rnacentral:rRNA from 1 species
GAUGAACGCUGGCGGCGUGCCUAAUACAUGCAAGUCGAGCGAACAGACGAGGAGCUUGCUCCUCUGACGUUAGCGGCGGACGGGUGAGUAACACGUGGAUAACCUACCUAUAAGACUGGGAUAACUUCGGGAAACCGGAGCUAAUACCGGAUAAUAUAUUGAACCGCAUGGUUCAAUAGUGAAAGACGGUUUUGCUGUCACUUAUAGAUGGAUCCGCGCCGCAUUUGCUAGUUGGUAAGGUAACGGCUUACCAAGGCAACGAUGCGUAGCCGACCUGAGAGGGUGAUCGGCCACACUGGAACUGAGACACGGUCCAGACUCCUACGGGAGGCAGCAGUAGGGAAUCUUCCGCAAUGGGCGAAAGCCUGACGGAGCAACGCCGCGUGAGUGAUGAAGGUCUUCGGAUCGUAAAACUCUGUUAUUAGGGAAGAACAAAUAUGUAAGUAACUAUGCACGUCUUGACGGUACCUAAUCAGAAAGCCACGGCUAACUACGUG